rnacentral:rRNA from 1 species
UACGGGGGGGGGCAAGCGUUUGUUCGGAAUUACUGGGCGUAAAGGGCUCGUAGGCGGCCAACUAAGUCAGACGUGAAAUCCCUCGGCUUAACUGGGGAACUGCGUCUGAUACUGGAUGGCUUGAGUUUGGGAGAGGGAUGCGGAAUUCCCGGUGUAGCGGUGAAAUGCGCAGAUAUCGGGAGGAACACCGGUGGCGAAGGCGGUUCUCUGGGCCUGUACUGACGCUGAGGAGCGAAAGCGUGGGGAGCGAACAGG